UACGUAGGGUGCGAGCGUUAAUCGGAAUUACUGGGCGUAAAGCGUGCGCAGGCGGAUUGUUAAGCAAGAUGUGAAAUCCCCGGGCUUAACCUGGGAAUGGCAUUUUGAACUGGCAGUCUAGAGGGUGUCAGAGGGGGGUGGAAUUCCACGUGUAGCGGUGAAAUGCGUAGAUAUGUGGAGGAACACCAAUGGCGAAGGCAGCCCCCUGGGAUAGUACUGACGCUGAGGUGCGAAAGCGUGGGGAGCAAACAGG
rnacentral:rRNA from 1 species